CCAACAUGGCCGGCACGCCCCGGCGCCUCCACGUGACUACCAUGGGCCAAUGGGGAGCAGGCAGCGCGCUUCGGCGGUUCGGGGGCCGGGCCUGUAAAUUUAAAAUCUGGCCCUUGGGCAACCGUCAGCUCGGCCCUCCCGGCUGGGCGGUUCCCGGACCAGGCUCAGGGCUGUAAGGAAGGACGCCUGGGACUGCCCACCCGCGCGGCUCUGGGCCCAGGGCCCUCCCGCCGCCCCGCGGGGACCCCUUGGAGGGGCCGGGCCUGAGAAAGGCGGGAAGGAGCCCGGAGGUUUCCGGGACGGAUCUGCGCCACCGCCCACACUCGGCGGUUCAGGGAAAUUCAAAUAUAAACGUCCCUAAAAGCCACACGCGAAACUCAGAGUGUCCCCGGCCACCGCGGGCGUGGUAACCUUAUCCCCCGCUCCGCUGGAGGGCUCGGGAAACGGCCUGGAGGCCGGGACGCUGUGGAAUUACGUAAUAGGCACUUGAGUCCGAGGUUCCAAAUGCACGGCUUGCAGGUUCCAAGUACCAGCCUUUAUUUUUCUCUCCGGUGGAAAACUGUAUCAGGCAACUUCUUUCCAUGAAAGUGAGAUCUGUGCGUCUUGAAGCCGAUAGAUUAUCACAGAAAAACCAGCAACCCUGAUUUUAAAUCAUUUGCCAACAGUGUUAAUGGGCGGUUCCUAAUCCGUUUCUUAAUUUAAGGGUUUGUAAAAUCAAAAAACAGCUCAGAAAUGAUACGAUUAACAUAUGACGGUGAGUAACUACGAGAGCAAGCUGUUUCAUACUCCGUUAAAAUCAGACAGAGUUUGGCUCUGUUGCCCAGGCUGGAGUGCAAUGGUGCGAUCUCCGCUCACUACAAGCUCCGCCUCCCGGGUUCACGCCAUUCUCCUGCCUCAGCCUCCCGAGUAGCUGCGACUACAGGCGCCCGCCACCACACCUGGCUAAUUUUUUGUGCUUUUUAGUAGAGACGGUGUUUCACCGUGUUAGCCAGGAUGGUCUUGAUCUCCUGACCUUGUGAUCCGCCUGCCUCGGCCUCCCAAAGUGCUGGGAUUACAGGCGUGAGCCACCGCGCCCGGCUGAAACUGCUAAAAUUUAAAGAAGGAAUCACUUCAGUUCAGGACAACAUGAUAGAACAUCCUGCAAGAGGACCAUUUGAACUGGACAUGGAAGUAGGGGAAGAUGCAUUCAGUUAAUGAUUUGAAUUACACAAAUUAGCUUUAUAAGUUUUUCAGGAA
rnacentral:lncRNA from 1 species